ACGGAAGGCAGCAGUGAGGAAUAUUGGUCAAUGGGCGGAAGCCUGAACCAGCCGAGUCGCGUGAAGGAUGAAGGUAUUAUGUAUUGUAAACUUCUUUAGCUGUGGAGCAAUAAUCGCCAUGCAUGGCGAGAUGAGAGUACACAGAGAAUAAGGAUCGGCUAACUCCGUGCCAGCAGCCGCGGUAAUACAGAGGAUCCGAGCGUUAUCCGGAUUUAUUGGGUUUAAGGGGUGCGCAGGCGGCUUUCUAAGUCAGUGGUUAAAGAGCGGUGCUCAACGCCGUCCCGCCAUUGAUACUGGAGAGCUUGAUUGCGGUCGAGGUUUGCGGAAUUCGUCGUGUAGCGGUGAAAUGCAUAGAUAUGACGAAGAACAUCGAUUGCGUAGGCAGCAGACCAGGCCGUAAAUGACGCUCAUGCAUGAAAGUGCGGGGAUCGAACAGGAUUAGAUACCCUGGUA
rnacentral:rRNA from 1 species